rnacentral:antisense_RNA from 1 species
GAGCUUGGACGCAAGGCUUCCACGAGGCUGUGAAGGAGGCUGCAUGGAAACCGGUGGGGAUCUGAAAAGCUUUUAGUGGCCUCGCCACACACAGCACUUUAGAUGCUCAGGUGACGAGCAACAUUUUCCAAGCCCAGCUAGUAAGCACCUCACCUCCUCUGGCUUCCAGAACCUGGUGUGGAGGGCCAGGAGAGGCUUCAGGACUGAAGGGCAGAGCAGCAGACUCCGGGGCUCAUGUAGGAACAUGCCUUCAGCCAAAGAUUAUCCACGCUGCAUGGAGACUCUUGCUAAAUAUCACUGAUGGAAUCUCGCUCUGUCGCCCAGGCUGCAGUGCAGCGGCAUGAUGUCUGCUCACUGCAACCUCCACCUCUCGGGUUCAAGUGAUUCUCCUGCCUCAGCCUCCUGAGUAGCUGGUAUUAUAGGCGUGCGCCACCACACCCUGCUAAUUUUUGUAUUUUUAGUAAAGAUGGGGUUUCAC